UGUCUGCAACUUUGUACUCCUGCCUAGCCAGAAGAAUCUUAUGCUGCAGAGUUUUAUCACUUUUCUGUGAAUGUUUAGCCUUUAUAUAGAAAAUAUUAUCAGUGCUUGCUUUAAAUGAAACAAACAUUAUUUCCAUAUGCAGGUAUGAGGAUCAAUUGCCCCUUGGGAAUU